rnacentral:rRNA from 1 species
AGCGUAACCCUUGUUAUUAGUUGCCAGCAUUUAGUUGGGCACUCUAAUGAGACUGCCGGUGAUAAACCGGAGGAAGGUGGGGACGACGUCAGAUCAUCAUGCCCCUUAUGACCUGGGCAACACACGUGCUACAAUGGGAAGUACAACGAGUCGCAAACCGGCGACGGUAAGCUAAUCUCUUAAAACUUCUCUCAGUUCGGACUGGAGUCUGCAACUCGACUCCACGAAGGCGGAAUCGCUAGUAAUCGCGAAUCAGCAUGUCGCGGUGAAUACGUUCCCGGGUCUUGUACACACCGCCCGUCAAAUCAUGGGAGUCGGAAGUACCCAAAGUCGCUUGGCUAACUUUUAGAGGCCGGUGCCUAAGGUAAAAUCGAUGACUGGGAUUAAGUCGUAACAAGGUAGCCGUAGGAGAACCUGCGGCUGGAUCACCUCCUUUCUAAGGA